rnacentral:rRNA from 1 species
AUUGAACGCUGGCGGCAGGCUUAACACAUGCAAGUCGAGCGGUAACAGAGAGAAGCUUGCUUCUCUGCUGACGAGCGGCGGACGGGUGAGUAAUGCCUAGGAAUCUGCCUAGUAGUGGGGGAUAACUUGCCGAAAGGUAAGCUAAUACCGCAUACGUCCUACGGGAGAAAGGAGGGGACCUUCGGGCCUUUCGCUAUUAGAUGAGCCUAGGUCGGAUUAGUUAGUUGGUGAGGUAAUGGCUCACCAAGACCGCGAUCCGUAACUGGUCUGCGAGGAUGAUCAGUCAAGAUGGAACUGAGACACGGUCCAGACUCCUACGGGAGGCAGCAGUGGGGAAUAUUGGACAAUGGGGGGAACCCUGAUCCAGCCAUGCCGCGUGUGUGAAGAAGGUCUUAGGAUUGUAAGCACUUUAAGUUGGGAGGAAGAGCAGUUAACUAAUAUUUGACUGUUUUGACGUUACCGACAGAAUAAGCACCGGCUAACUUCGUGCCAGCCGCCGCCGUAA